rnacentral:rRNA from 1 species
UACGUAGGGCGCAAGCGUUAUCCGGAAUUAUUGGGCGUAAAGAGCGUGUAGGCGGCCAAGCAGGUCCGCUGUGAAAACUCGAGGCUCAACCUCGAGACGUCGGUGGAAACCGUUUGGCUAGAGUCCGGAAGAGGAGAGUGGAAUUCCCGGUGUAGCGGUGAAAUGCGCAGAUAUCGGGAAGAACACCCGUGGCGAAGGCGGCUCUCUGGGACGGUACUGACGCUGAGACGCGAAAGCGUGGGGAGCGAACAGG